UACGGGGGGGGCAAGCGUUGUUCGGAAUUACUGGGCGUAAAGGGCUCGUAGGCGGCCAACUAAGUCGGACGUGAAAGCCCUCGGCUUAACCGAGGAACUGCGUCCGAUACUGGAUGGCUUGAGGUUGGGAGAGGGUAGUGGAAUUCCCGGUGUAGAGGUGAAAUGCGUAGAUAUCGGGAGGAACACCAGUGGCGAAGGCGACUACCUGGCCUUUUCUUGACGCUGAGGCGCGAAAGCUAGGGGAGCAAACGGG
rnacentral:rRNA from 1 species